GAUGAACGCUGGCGGCGUGCCUAAUACAUGCAAGUCGAGCGAACAGACGAGGAGCUUGCUCCUUCGACGUUAGCGGCGGACGGGUGAGUAACACGUAGGUAACCUACCUAUAAGACUGGGAUAACUUCGGGAAACCGGAGCUAAUACCGGAUAAUAUUUCGAACCGCAUGGUUCGAUAGUGAAAGAUGGCUUUGCUAUCACUUAUAGAUGGACCUGCGCCGUAUUAGCUAGUUGGUAAGGUAACGGCUUACCAAGGCAACGAUACGUAGCCGACCUGAGAGGGUGAUCGGCCACACUGGAACUGAGACACGGUCCAGACUCCUACGGGAGGCAGCAGUAGGGAAUCCUCCGCAAUGGGCGAAAGCCUGACGGAGCAACGCCGCGUGAGUGAUGAAGGUCUUCGGAUCGUAAAACUCUGUUAUUAGGGAAGAACAGACGUGUAAGUAACUGUGCACGUCUUGACGGUACCUAAUCAGAAAGCCACGGCUAACUACGUG
rnacentral:rRNA from 1 species